rnacentral:lncRNA from 1 species
CUCGAGGCCUGCCCGGGUGGCCUAGCGCAGGAGUGCAGUAGGGAGCGCCUGGAUUCAUCCAAAGAUGCUCAUUCUCCUCUCCAGGACGAUGAAAACGGUCUUUUUUUUUUUUUUUUUUUUUUCCUGUGGAAGGAAAGAGAGAGUGUGUGAGAAGGAGAGGAGGAGCAGAGAAAGAGGGAGAGGGACAAGCAGACUGUGCACUGAUUAUGGAGCCCAACAUGCACAGCUUGAUCCCAAGAAUCGAGAUCAUGGCAUGAGCCAAAACCAAGAGUCAACUGAGUCUCAAAUGACUGAGCUCAACUCAUUGAACCCCUCUGGAAAUUUUAGGAUUGCCAGAUUAAGCCAGAAGACUGCAGAAAUACAAGGCUGACCAAAUUUCUUUCCCCUCUCACUCAUUUCUAGGCUAAUGAAAUAAGUAUAUGACUAUGGAAUAAAA